rnacentral:rRNA from 1 species
UAGGGUCAAGCGAAUAAGUGCAUGUGGUGGAUGCCUUGGCGAUUACAGGCGACGAAAGACGUGUAAGCCUGCGAAAAGCUACGGGGAGCUGGCAAUAAAGCUUUGAUCCGUAGAUAUCUGAAUGGGGAAACCCGGCCCGCAAGGGUCACUCCUGACUAAAUACAUAGGUCAGGUAGAGCGAACCCGGUGAACUGAAACAUCUAAGUAGCCGGAGGAAAAGAAAUCAACCGAGAUUCCGAAAGUAGUGGCGAGCGAAAUCGGAGGAGCCUGCAAUCUUUAGCUUCUGAAUUAGUAGAACAGUCUGGAAAGUCUGGCCAUAGUGGGUGAUAGCCCCGUACGCAAAAAUUCAGGAGUGGAAAUAGGGUUGGAACAAGUAGGGCGGGACACGAGAAAUCCUGUCUGAAUAUGGGGGGACCAUCCUCCAAGGCUAAAUACUCGUAAUCGACCGAUAGUGAACCAGUACCGUGAGGGAAAGGCGAAAAGAACCCCGGGAGGGGAGUGAAAUAGAUCCUGAAACCGCAUGCAUACAAACAGUGGGAGCGGACUUGUUCCGUGACUGCGUACCUUUUGUAUAAUGGGUCAGCGACUUACAUUCAGUAGCGAGCUUAACCGAAUAGGGGAGGCGCAGCGAAAGCGAGUCUGAUAAGGGCGAUAGUUGCUGGGUGUAGACCCGAAACCAAGUGAUCUAUCCAUGGCCAGGAUGAAGGUGGGGUAACACUCACUGGAGGUCCGAACCCACUAAUGUUGAAAAAUUAGGGGAUGAGCUGUGGAUAGGGGUGAAAGGCUAAACAAACUUGGAAAUAGCUGGUUCUCUCCGAAAACUAUUUAGGUAGUGCCUCAUGUAUCACUCUCGGGGGUAGAGCACUGUCAUGGCUAGGGGUCUAUUGCUGAUUACCAAACCAUUGCAAACUCCGAAUACCGAGAAGUGCGAGCAUGGGAGACAGACAUCGGGUGCUAACGUCCGGUGUCAAAAGGGAAACA